ensembl:lncRNA
AACCAUUUCCUGGAGCUGACAGACCAGCAGGACAGGUGUCCAGAGGCUUUUGGCUGCUGUUUACCAGGACUGGAUGCUGAGCCUCAGCUGUCACAGGGCCCUGAGCCUUUUCUAGGCGUCUGACUUAAUCCACUUCCAGAGCUGGAUCUUUACCUGGUGAGUUCUUUGCAAGGACCACGGCCAUUCCGUUGACGGAGACCCACAUGACCAUCAUGUCAUCCACGUCACUGUCCUCAGGCUUGGACUCUGUGACCAACAAGAG